rnacentral:rRNA from 1 species
AUUGAACGCUGGCGGCAUGCUUUACACAUGCAAGUCGAACGGUAACAGGUUAAGCUGACGAGUGGCGAACGGGUGAGUAAUGCAUCGGAACGUGCCCGAUCGUGGGGGAUAACGCAGCGAAAGCUGCGCUAAUACCGCAUACGAUCUGAGGAUGAAAGCGGGGGACCGUAAGGCCUCGCGCGAUCGGAGCGGCCGAUGUCAGAUUAGGUAGUUGGUGGGGUAAAGGCUCACCAAGCCGACGAUCUGUAGCUGGUCUGAGAGGACGACCAGCCACACUGGGACUGAGACGCGGCCCAGACUCCUACGGGAGGCAGCAGUGGGGAAUUUUGGACAAUGGGCGCAAGCCUGAUCCAGCAAUGCCGCGUGCAGGAAGAAGGCCUUCGGGUUGUAAACUGCUUUUGUGCGGAGCGAAAAGGCUCUCUCUAAUACAGGGGGCUCAUGACGGUACCGUAAGAAUAAGCACCGGCUAACUACGUGCCAGCAGCCGCAGUAAGAC